UGCUAUACAUGCAAGUCGAACGAACUCUGGUAUUGAUUGGUGCUUGCAUCAUGAUUUACAUUUGAGUGAGUGGCGAACUGGUGAGUAACACGUGGGAAACCUGCCCAGAAGCGGGGGAUAACACCUGGAAACAGAUGCUAAUACCGCAUAACAACUUGGACCGCAUGGUCCGAGCUUGAAAGAUGGCUUCGGCUAUCACUUUUGGAUGGUCCCGCGGCGUAUUAGCUAGAUGGUGGGGUAACGGCUCACCAUGGCAAUGAUACGUAGCCGACCUGAGAGGGUAAUCGGCCACAUUGGGACUGAGACACGGCCCAAACUCCUACGGGAGGCAGCAGUAGGGAAUCUUCCACAAUGGACGAAAGUCUGAUGGAGCAACGCCGCGUGAGUGAAGAAGGGUUUCGGCUCGUAAAACUCUGUUGCUAAAGAAGAACAUAUCUGAGAGUAACUGUUCAGGUAUUGACGGUAUUUAACCAGAAAGCCACGGCUAACUACGUGCCAGCAGCCGCGGUAAUACGUAGGUGGCAAGCGUUGUCCGGAUUUAUUGGGCGUAAAGCGAGCGCAGGCGGUUUUUUAAGUCUGAUGUGAAAGCCUUCGGCUCAACCGAAGAAGUGCAUCGGAAACUGGGAAACUUGAGUGCAGAAGAGGACAGUGGAACUCCAUGUGUAGCGGUGAAAUGCGUAGAUAUAUGGAAGAACACCAGUGGCGAAGGCGGCUGUCUGGUCUGUAACUGACGCUGAGGCUCGAAAGUAUGGGUAGCAAACAGGAUUAGAUACCCUGGUAGUCCAUACCGUAAACGAUGAAUGCUAAGUGUUGGAGGGUUUCCGCCCUUCAGUGCUGCAGCUAACGCAUUAAGCAUUCCGCCUGGGGAGUACGGCCGCAAGGCUGAAACUCAAAGGAAUUGACGGGGGCCCGCACAAGCGGUGGAGCAUGUGGUUUAAUUCGAAGCUACGCGAAGAACCUUACCAGGUCUUGACAUACUAUGCAAAUCUAAGAGAUUAGACGUUCCCUUCGGGGACAUGGAUACAGGUGGUGCAUGGUUGUCGUCAGCUCGUGUCGUGAGAUGUUGGGUUAAGUCCCGCAACGAGCGCAACCCUUAUUAUCAGUUGCCAGCAUUAAGUUGGGCACUCUGGUGAGACUGCCGGUGACAAACCGGAGGAAGGUGGGGAUGACGUCAAAUCAUCAUGCCCCUUAUGACCUGGGCUACACACGUGCUACAAUGGAUGGUACAACGAGUUGCGAACUCGCGAGAGUAAGCUAAUCUCUUAAAGCCAUUCUCAGUUCGGAUUGUAGGCUGCAACUCGCCUACAUGAAGUCGGAAUCGCUAGUAAUCGCGGAUCAGCAUGCCGCGGUGAAUACGUUCCCGGGCCUUGUACACACCGCCCGUCACACCAUGAGAGUUUGUAACACCCAAAGUCGGUGGGGUAACCUUUUAGGAACCAGCCGCCUAAG
rnacentral:rRNA from 1 species